UAUUCUACCCCUCCAGCUUGCAUCCCUCUGCUUCCGACCUCAGAGACUGCUAGUCAUUAACAGAAUUAGACAACUUGCUAGACAGAAGAAACGGGAAAACGAGGUAGAAGGAGCAAGUGUGGUGUGGACAUUUGUGCAGUGGGCUGCAGUAGGGAGCAGGGGUUGCUGCUGAUGGGUUUCAGUGCUGUACCUAAGACUAGGAGUUGGAAGCUGUUCACUUAGCAGAGUGAGGGCUUUCCUGCUGUGUAUUCAGCACUGUAACAGUGUCUCUGGUAAGUGGAAAAGUGGGAGUGAGCUGCACUUUGUGACUGACAAGCCUCCCUCUACCACUCUCAAGGUUUUUCACCCUCAGGAGCAGCAGUGCUUUUGUGUUUUGUUUCUUUUAUUGUAUACCGACUGUUCUUUCGGUCUGUAAAUCUUGAGGCACCUGCCUUUGGUGUCAGGAGAACAGGGCGGAAGGUCUACCUGAUUGUCAAGUAACCCGCUCCCCAACCGAUCUGAUUAAAGAAAGCAGACUUUUCCUGAGGAUAUUUAGCCGUUUUAAGAUCCAUUCCUCCACUAGCCUCUCGCUUUUAUGUAGUUUAUAUGAUCAUGGAUUUGAGGGCUGUAGGAAGAAAUCCAAAACUCAUAAAUGUGCCCUGGAGAGGAGUUUACAAGCAGGCGUGGGCGAGGCCAAGGGCCCAGGCACUACACUUCCCAGGGGCUCUUUGCGGGCCCAGAUACUACACUUCCCAGGAGGCCUUUGCGGGCCGGGGGCGUGGCCUUCGAGGGCAGGGCCGGCGGCGCCAUGGCAGGCCAGGUGAAGGACCGUGAGGCUUUCCAGAGGCUCAGCUUCUUGUACCAGGCCGCCCACUGUGUCCUCGCCCAGGACCCCGAGAACCAGGCGCUGGCGAGGUUUUACUGCCACACGGAGAAGACCAUAGCAAAGCGACUCGUGCUGCGACAGGACCCCUCGGUGAAGAGGACGUUGUGUCGCGGCUGCUCCUCCCUUCUUAUCCCGGGCCUCACCUGCACCCAGCGCCAGAGACGCCGCCGGGGCCAGCGCUGGACAGUACAGACCUGCCUGACAUGCCAGCGCAGCCAGCGCUUCCUCAAUGAUCCUAGGCAUCUGCUCUGGGGGGACCGACCUGAGGCGCAGCUGGGGAGCCAAGCAGGCUCCCACAGCAAAAAGAUUUCAGAACCACUGUGUCCCAGCAGUGGAUGCCCAAGGUAGAACAGAGGCCGGAGUUUAGUGUCCUGAACAAGCAAUGCACCAGACCCAUCAAGAGCAGCGUGUGAGGAUUUACCCGAGGCACCUGAGGACCCCUCCACACCUAUAAUGCAGGUGAGGCUGAUGAGUGGUGAGGGCACAGCCAGCAAGAAUUGCCAGGGACGGUGACAUCCACCUGUUGUGCCAAGCGAGCCGAUAAAUCACCAAACACUGGGACCAACAACAAAGUUAAACUGAAAGGCGUUUAUUCACGCGCGUGGACUCCACUCCCUAAGCGAAGUGAAGCCCUGAGUCCAGGAACAGCACAGUUUAUAUAGGGCGUUAUAGCAGCAUAGCUUUUAUAGGUGUUAUUUUAAGAAGAGAAGUCCAAGGGGAGGUUAAUUCACAGCUCAGCUAUCUUGCUGUCUUGUCAGAUUAGGGCAAUUUACGGUAAAGGGAGGCACCAGGCACUAUCUCUUUCCGAGAAGCGAUGAAGCAAGUUUACAGAAGCAGAACAAGCAGUUGGAGGGGCAUGAGGGGAGUUCAUUUGCCGGCCAAGAUGGUGUUUCUUGGGUUUAUCCUGGUCUCACACCCCCAGACACACCCUGGUGAACCCACAGUAUUUUGAUUUUGUUCCAGGUUUAUUUUCAAGCCAAGCUGUAAGUGAGCACCUCUGACCAAUCGCAGAGUUUCUGCCUGACAUGGGAGGGGUGUGGCAGUGUAAAUAGGGCUGACCAGAUGCCACCCUGCUGUCACAGGCCCUGGGGACCUGACUGGUGCUUCUCUGGCUACAGGCAGUUGGCACAGUGGUGCUGUUCACAUCACAGAGACGCGGGACUGCGGUCCUGUGCCCUGGCUGCCGCUGGCACCGUGAUAAGCAUUCUGUGAGCGAUGUGUCCCGAAGGCCUCCCUGGGAGUCUGUGGAGGGGCUCUGCAGACACUUGGCCUGGGAAGGGACAGCUGAGACAAGGCUGGAAAGGAUGGCUCUCUGGGAAGCCACUGGCCAGCAGCACGGGAACCAAGCAGUGCAGGAGAGAUUGUUUCUCAAGCCCCAUCCUCCUGCCCACCCACACAGCCUUUCAGGACCUGACUCUGGGUCGGGACCAGAAGCCUCCUUUUCUCUCUUCAGAUGGAGCUUCACGCCGUGGCCCAGUUCACUUGUCGCAGGGCCUGAGCAGGAGUAGAUCCUAGCAGACUUCCUUGCAUCCAGCUGAUGCAUGAGUUUUGUGCGCCUUCUCCCCAAGCAAAUUGACCUCAGUUCAUGGGCAGUCACAUGAUUUCUGCACAAAUGGUGUGUGGGAGGCCAACCAAACUCCCUAAAUUAUCUCUGACCCUUUCCCUCAGACGACCCCCUCCCCCGCCAAAAAAUCACGUGACCAAUGACCCCACCUCCAGUGAGGUCACCCUGAGGUGCUGGGGCCUGGGCUUCUACCCUGCCAAGAUCUCCGUGACCUGGCAGCGGGAUGGGGAGGACCUGACCCAGGACAUGGAGCUGGUGGGGACCAGGCCUGCAGGGGACGGGACCUUCCAGAUGUGGGCGGCUGUGGUGGUGCCCUCCGAAGAGGAGCAGCAUUACACGUGCCGAGUGCAGCACAAGGGGCUGCCUGAGCCCCGCACCCUGACGUGGGGUAGGGGAUGGCGCACAGGGCCUCUUUUCAGGGAACGGAGGACGCCCUCAGCAGGGUCGGAGCUCCGCGCUGGGGCAGGGCCUUUCACCUUCUCUCCCUCCUCAGAGUGGCCUCCUCGGCUCACCGUGCCCCCCCCCAAGCCAGCACCUGCCAACUCUGCGGUUCUGACAGCGGCUCUUGCGAUCUGCGUGGAGUAGUCUUCAUCUGCAUCAGAGCGCAGUCACAACUGAGACUUCAGUGAUCCCCUGAUGCUGUGAUUCUCCAGGAGAAGACCACACCUGAG